GUGUUAUUAGUAUAAGUUAUGAAUAUUGCAUUUUUCCAAAAUGUAGAUCUGUGCUCAGAUAACAUA
rnacentral:tRNA from 1 species